rnacentral:rRNA from 1 species
GACGAACGCUGGCGGCGUGCUUAACACAUGCAAGUCGAACGGAAAGGCCCUGCUUUUGUGGGGUGCUCGAGUGGCGAACGGGUGAGUAACACGUGAGUAACCUGCCCUUGACUUUGGGAUAACUUCAGGAAACUGGGGCUAAUACCGGAUAGGAGCUCCUGCUGCAUGGUGGGGGUUGGUAAGUUUCGGCGGUUGGGGAUGGACUCGCGGCUUAUCAGCUUGUUGGUGGGGUAGUGGCUUACGAAGGCUUUGACGGGUAGCCGGCCUGAGAGGGUGACCGGCCACAAUGGGACUAAGAUACGGCCCAGACGCCUACGGGAGGCAGCAGGGGGGAGUAUUGCACAGUGAGGGCAAGCCAGUUGCAGCAACGCCGCGUGCGGGAUGACGUGCUUCGGGUUGUGAACCGCUUUCGACUGAGACGAAGCGGGAGUGACGGUAAUGGGUAAAGAAGCACCGGCUAACUACGUG